GUCUCGAUACAUUUUGGCAAGUCUCAAUAUGUGUAAUGUUGCUCUCUAGAAUUUGAAGUCUGGAAAGGAUGUUUCAAAAAUUUGACAAGUAGGUCUUCACACAUUGACACUUGCUCUUUGGAAAUUGAAGUUUUGAAGGCGAUGUCUUGAUACUUUGAAGGUAAGUCUCGAUACAUUGGCACAUACUCUUUGAAAAUUAAAGUCUAGAGGUGAAGUCUCGAUAUCUUAAAGCUAGGUCUUGAUACAUGGACACUUGCCCUCUGGAAUUUUGGAUUUUUGAGGUGAUGUCUCGAUACUUCAAGUCCAAGUCUCGAUACAUCAGCACUUGUCUUCUGGAAUUUAAGGCUCCAUAGGUGAUGUCUUUUUACUUGCAAGAAAUGUCUCGAUAUUGCUACUUCUUGAGGCUGUUUCUGAGGUGGAUUUGUCUCAAAUCAUAAUAUUUAUAUGGUUUGAACAUAUAUGCAUCAUGGGUUUAGAUUUUCAAAGGUAGAUUGCAUGGUAUCAAAAUGAAAUAGCAUUGUUUAUUAACUCUUCCACUGUUCAUUGCUCGUUCCCUUCCAUUAUCCCUCACUAAGUUGUACUUACCUUUUUAAGUUUACAAGUUUUGGUUUUUAGAUUCGAAGGAAGUUGGGUCGUAGAUUGUGAGGAAGAUCCUUAUUCACCACUUUUUUGGUAGGCUGUAUGUAUGGCAUCGGUAGAUGUUACCACACCAGUCUUGACUCUAUUGAAUAGUUGCGAACACUUUUACUUUGGUUAUAGUAUGGGUGUCACCACACAAUUUAAUGUAGCCAUGGGUUGGCAACCUAAGUUAUACUUUUGUAAGGUGUAGGGGUAUACCUAUGAAGGAAUGAGUUAUGCGAAUUGGUUGCUAAUACAUGUAAUAAAAUGCUUUUGAUAUGAAAUUAUAGAAAUGGACUGGUUUGUAUAUUUGAGUAUGAAAUGAAUGGUUCCUAUGAGAUUGAUA
rnacentral:lncRNA from 1 species